AUAUCUACACAAGGCCAAAGGAAGAGAACAGAUAUAUCCACAGUACACUUGGCUGUUCUCUUUCUUUAGCCUUGUGUAGAUAU
ensembl:miRNA MIR4753 microRNA 4753